AACGAACGCUGGCGGCAUGCCUAACACAUGCAAGUCGAACGAUAAGCCACCUUCGGGUGGUGGACAGUGGCGCACGGGUGAGUAACGCGUGGGAACCUACCCCGAGGUUCGGAAUAACGGCUGGAAACGGCCGCUAAUACCGGAUGUGACCUUUUGGUGAAAGAUUUAUCGCCUUGGGAGGGGCCCGCGUCCGAUUAGCUUGUUGGUGUGGUAACGGCGCACCAAGGCGACGAUCGGUAGCUGGUCUGAGAGGAUGAUCAGCCACACUGGGACUGAGACACGGCCCAG
rnacentral:rRNA from 1 species